CCUACGGGUGGCAGCAGUGGGGAAUAUUGGACAAUGGGCGAAAGCCUGAUCCAGCCAUGCCGCGUGUGUGAAGAAGGCCUUCGGGUUGUAAAGCACUUUCAGUGGGGAAGAAAGCCUUGGGGCUAAUACCCUAGAGGAAGGACAUCACCCACAGAAGAAGCACCGGCUAACUCCGUGCCAGCAGCCGCGGUAAUACGGAGGGUGCGAGCGUUAAUCGGAAUUACUGGGCGUAAAGCGCGCGUAGGCGGUCUGAUAAGCCGGUUGUGAAAGCCCCGGGCUCAACCUGGGAACGGCAUCCGGAACUGUCAGGCUAGAGUGCAGGAGAGGAAGGUAGAAUUCCCGGUGUAGCGGUGAAAUGCGUAGAGAUCGGGAGGAAUACCAGUGGCGAAGGCGGCCUUCUGGACUGACACUGACGCUGAGGUGCGAAAGCGUGGGUAGCAAACAGGAUUAGAUACCCCAGUAGUC
rnacentral:rRNA from 1 species